GGGGUUGUAGUUAAAUUUAACAUUUAAUUUGCAAUUAAAAAAUAUUAUAAAUCUAUAAUCUGCCUCA
rnacentral:tRNA from 1 species